GAUGAACGCUGGCGGCGUGCUUAACACAUGCAAGUCGAACGGAAAGGCCCAAGCUUGCUUGGGUACUCGAGUGGCGAACGGGUGAGUAACACGUGGGUGAUCUGCCCUGCACUUCGGGAUAAGCCUGGGAAACUGGGUCUAAUACCGGAUAGGACCACUUCUUGGAUGUUGUGGUGGAAAGUUUUUUCGGUGUGGGAUGAGCUCGCGGCCUAUCAGCUUGUUGGUGGGGUAAUGGCCUACCAAGGCGUCGACGGGUAGCCGGCCUGAGAGGGUGUACGGCCACAUUGGGACUGAGAUACGGCCCAGACUCCUACGGGAGGCAGCAGUGGGGAAUAUUGCACAAUGGGCGCAAGCCUGAUGCAGCGACGCCGCGGGGGGGAGGACGGCCUUCGGGUUGUAAACGCCUUUCGCUAGGGACGAAGCGUUUUGUGACGGUACCUGGAGAAGAAGCACCGGCUAACUACGUG
rnacentral:rRNA from 1 species